rnacentral:misc_RNA from 1 species
UCGUGUCGUUUUCUUGUUGCUGUGAAGCGGCCCAGCACAACUGCACACAACUUUUAUUCGUUCCCCUUUGUCGCUCGUCACCUCGCUCGCACUGACGUCCGCGGCAGCGUGGGAGAAGAUUGAGCACUGCCGCCUUGUGUUGAGCGCUUCAGACGCCGAAGCGGCGCACAGCAACGGCCACGGCGCGCUGCCGACUCAGCACGCAGUGACGCGUACACCGCCAUCCUUGACUGCAUCGACACACAUCUUUUACGUACGUCUCCCACACCCACCUCACCCACACACGCCCAUACCCGCGCCGAUAUUCGGGUUGUCCAGCCCCCACUCUUCAUCCUCCUCUUCUACAAACCUCAAUCGUCUGCGAAGCAAAAAUGAGCGACGUGGACGUGGUGGCGAAUUUCGUGGUCAUGACGGGGGCCACCGAGGAUCAAGCCAUCCACUACCUUUCCACGUACAACUUCAACUUGGAGGAUGCUGUCGUGGCGUUUCAGGUAGACAAUCCUCAUCCCUCGCCGCCGCACACACGAGAGGACUCUCCACACUACUCCAGCGUCGACACAGGGUCACCCAUGAGCGCGCCAUCGCCGGCCUCGCACCAAGUGGAGGGCUUUGCGUUCCCCCAGGCGGCUCAGCGUCCACCCACGCCACCGCGACAGCGAGCUCUUGCCUCCUCGACUGCCGAAGCGAUACAGCGCCUCUUCGCCCGUCCUGACUACGUAGUGGGCAGCGACAGAGCCACCUUCGACGCUGAGUGCGAGAAGGCCGCAUCGCGCCACUGCUGGGUCGUCGUGUCCGUCGUGGACAACUCGUUCCCCUGCGAGUGCUUUACCCGCGAUAUCUGGGCCAGCGACGCCAUGCGCUCCCUCACCAGCGGCAGCCUGUUUUGCUAUGAGAUCAACGUCACGCACACCCGCGGCAUGGCCCUGGCCGAAAAGUACCACGUCGACAACAGCAAUCUGCCCCGCAUGUUCAUGGUCGAUCCGGUGACUCAGUUUAAGGUGCAGGAGCUGCCGCUCAUCUCCUCUGAGGUGUGGCAGUUUGACAGUGCCGUUGUAGUGGAUGCCAUCAUGCUCUUCAUCACGAACCACGACCCCCCGCACGAUCCGUUUGCCGGCGCGGAUGAUCAGCCGCAAAACGAAGGCGGCGGUGGCGAUAGCGCUGAGUCGGCGUCCGCGAGUGCAAGCGUGAAGGCGCCGGCCGUGGUAGACGUCGACGAGGGAGACAGCGAGGCCGAGAUGGUAUCGCCUCCGACGAUAUCACGGAGCGUAGCCGGCGCGGUUGCUUCCACGACGAGCACGCUGGAGGUUGGCGAGCCGGGUCCAGUCGUCGCUCCCUCCCCGGUGACGCUGGACGAGUACAAGGUCCCGGAGGGCACCACCGGCGAUGCAAGCAGCGUCUUUCGACUGCGAUGCCGACUGCCGCAUUCGUCUUCCACUCUGCAGCUGCGCCCUGACACCCCGGUAGCGAGGCUCAUCGACUACUUGGCGUAUCUCUUGUACGCGGAGGACACCACGCGCUAUGCGGUUCCGCCGCGGAUUAGCAUCUUCAGUGGGUUUCCUCCAAAGAACAUGACUGCCGGGGAGAUGGAGGGCAUCACGCUGAGCACGUGGGACGGCGUGCGGAGCGGCGAUGUCUUGAUGGUUCGCGUGAAUGCGUGACAUGCCGAAGGCAUUUCGUUGCUGUGCGAGAAGGAAGUCUCCGGGAGUCUGCUGCUGCUGCCGGCCGCUGCCGGCGGUGCAGCUGUUGCGACUGACGCGUAUAUAUAUAUAUAUACAUCCGAAUCACUGUUUUCGCCACUCCAUCUGCGUCUGGGUACACGCGACCACACACGUGCUCGCAAAUCUUCCCGUGAGCCACUUGGGUCGCUCUCUGCUCCUAUCCGUUGAAAGAAGACGCAGAGCGCACAAAACGACAGCCGCUGCUUGCGUUGCCUUUACCUGGUCUUUAGGUGCCAUCAGACGCUCGCGCAUGUGCGUGUCUGCUGAAGCUUCUGGCCGUUUGUGUGUGAGAGUACGUUUCACUGCCUUGUCGCCGUCGACAUCACGUGGGACUCGACUGCUUUUCACGACCAGGUGCCUGCGGAGGUGUACUGAAGGUUUGCUCCUUGCGGUAACGCAGCCACGCACAAAGGCGGCCCACGAUAGAAAGGUUCGGGGUGAGGAUGUUGCAUCAAAACGCUCUGCGUCCCAUGCCGCGCAGGUGUGAUGGUGAUUGUACCAACGGUCGAUGCAUGCGCCGCGUGUGUUGCUGGGCGCUCGUCCACUGGACUUGUCUUCCAUUCAUUUUGUGCUGAGAAGAAACAUACAUGCACUACAGCUGGUGAAGAGCAGCCGUUCAU